GCCGCCCAGACGCGGGUUCGGGGCGGGGCCCCCCGAGACUAGUUAGUCGGGGGCUUAACUGAGGCCGCCCCCCGCCCAGCAGGCCUCGCCCGGGGCUCCGCUCGGUGCUCGCGGGGCGGGACGCGUGUUGAAAUAGCGCUUGAGACCCUGCGUGUUCCUUAGCCGGCAGGAGGACAUUUCCUAUACACCUUCUUAAAACCUUCAGAUGACCCCACCGCAAAGCCGGGCCAAUUUGAGGUUCAAAACACAGGGAAUAAUCAUAACGGAUUAUAACUUCGAAUAAAAUAAGAACCCACCAGUUGAUACUGAUCUAAAUAAGCAGGAGCGCCUGGGUGGCUCAGUGGGUUAGGCAUUUGAUUCUUGGUUUUGGAUGAGGUCAUGACCUUGGGGUGCUGGGAUUCAGCCCCUAAUGGGGGCCUUUGCUGGGGUUAGAGUCUUCCUGAGAUUCUCCCUCUCCCUCUGCCCUUCCUGCACCCCCACCCCGCUUAAGUACUCUCUUUUUCUUAAAAAAAAAAGGGAUAAAAAAAAAGUGGGGAGAAGGGAAAGCUGUUUCUCACCAAAGAAGGCCAACUAAGAAGCGCAGAAGGGAUGAUGCAGAAAAUCACCAUUUGUCAACCAUCCUGCUUAAUAGCCUAUGUGGGCGAAAAAUCAUCGAUGGCCACUAAAACUGGAGGGUGAAAGCUUAGCAAGGAAAUGGCAUCAAAAUUGGCAUCUAUGUACCCCAGCCUUGGAAAAGUGGUUUUAGUAAAGACAGUCAUCUUUGUUGUGAGAUUUUAUUUAUUCACUCAUGAGAGACACAUAGAGAGAGAAAAAGAGGCAGAGACA